GGUUGGUCUGAGUAUAGUGGUGUUUACAACUACUUGAUCACAACCAGUUACAGAUUCCUUUGUUCCUCCACUCCCACUGCUUCACUUGACUAGCCUUAA
rnacentral:Y_RNA from 1 species